rnacentral:rRNA from 1 species
ACGACGUCAAGUCAUCAUGGCCCUUAUGUCCUGGGCUACACACGUGCUACAAUGGCCGGUACAGAGCGCAGCGAAGCCGCGAGGCAAAGCGAAUCGCAAAAAGCCGGUCUCAGUACGGAUUGGAGUCUGAAACCCGACUCCAUGAAGUUGGAAUCGCUAGUAAUCGCGCAUCAGCAUGGCGCGGUGAAUACGUUCCCGGGCCUU